rnacentral:lncRNA from 1 species
CGUGGCGGCGCUUGGGUGUCGGGCCUCCGAGGCUCCGGCCUGACCUCUCCACGGGGUCCACAGGAACGUCUCCGGCUGCCAGGAGUCACAAGGGGCCGAGCAGGAUGAGGAAACCACAGGCGGAGUCCGGGGGAAGCAGCGUGGCAUCCCAGCCUCAGGCCUGCCAGGACGGUGUUCGGGAACGUCUCUGGCUGCCAGGAGUCGCAAGGGGCUGAGCAGGAUGAGGAAACCACAGGCGGAGUCCGGUGGAAGCAGCGUGGCAUCCCAGCCUCAGGCCUGCCAGGAAGAAACCCGUCCCUGAGGCUUGGCAAAGUAGGAGCCCUCCGUGGCAGUGCUUGGGUGUCGGGGCUCCGAGGCUCCGGCCUGACCUCUCCACGGGGUCGACAGGAACAUCUCUGGCUGCCAGGAGUCGCAAAGGGCCGACCAGGAUGACGAAACCACAGGCGAAGUCCGGGGGAAGCGGCAUGGCAUGCCAGCCUCAGGCCUGCCAGGACGGUGUUCGGGACUGACUCUAACUAUGUGAAGAACUGCUACA